AACGAACGCUGGCGGCAUGCCUAACACAUGCAAGUCGAACGAGAUCUUCGGGUCUAGUGGCGCACGGGUGCGUAACGCGUGGGAAUCUGCCCUUUGGUUCGGAAUAACAGUUGGAAACGACUGCUAAUACCGGAUGAUGACGAAAGUCCAAAGAUUUAUCGCCAGAGGAUGAGCCCGCGUAGGAUUAGCUAGUCGGUGUGGUAAAGGCGCACCGAGGCGACGAUCCUUAGCUGGUCUGAGAGGAUGAUCAGCCACACUGGGACUGAGACACGGCCCAGACUCCUACGGGAGGCAGCAGUGGGGAAUAUUGGACAAUGGGCGAAAGCCUGAUCCAGCAAUGCCGCGUGAGUGAUGAAGGCCUUAGGGUUGUAAAGCUCUUUUACCCGGGAUGAUAAUGACGGUACCGGGAGAAUAAGCUCCGGCUAACUCCGUGCCAGCCGCCGCAGUAA
rnacentral:rRNA from 1 species